CCAGCACUUGCAGCACCCCAUGAGACUGAUGGAAUAGGUAUUAAUGUGUGCACGAUGUAGAUGCUAAAAUUGAGGCCCGAUGACCUACCCAAAGUCAGGAAGCACAUGGCAGCAGAGCCCACAAAAGAACCCCGGGCUCCUACUCCUCCAUCUGACGCCUUUCCCUCAGAGCAACGCCAUCUGCCUUGCUCACGCUGGUGGGAAGAUGUUUGGCAAUUAUGGUCCACUAUUCUUGUAUGUGUUUGUUUCUGAGUGGGGCUAGGGAGGAGACAGGCCUUCCCAUGGGGUCGUCCCCUGCUCCCUAGAAUAACUAGCCUGAGUCAGGCCUCUGCUCCCAGGGCGGGGGGCGGGCCUCCUCAAAGACCUGUUAAUGAACUGUGGUCCAAACCCAACAUGAAGCGUGGCCUCCGAUUUCCACCCUGGGUUCCAUGGAAGGGAAGGCGGGCUGUGUCCAGGCCUGGAGCCCUUACUGCUCCCAAAUCCUGCAGGGGCACAGGGUGUGGACAGACCCACGAGGACAGGGGUGUUAAGCUGCCAGCUGGCUGACUCUGCCCGAGAGAUGCUGCAGGCAGAGCAGAGCUCUGCUGAGGUAACAAUGCGGCCAUGAAUCAUAUUUACAAACACUCCAGUGAGCAGGAGAAGGACAUUAAUUAAAUAUUCACAUCCUGCAGGGCCUCGGGGAGCCGUGAGGAUGAGGACAUGAUUGCAGCCCAGCGGGAAGCACCGUGCUGCCGGAAUGCGGGCAGCCAUCCGUCUCCUUCAGCAGCCGGCAGUGAUCGAGCACCCGUGACGAGCAGGCUUUGUGCUGCGCCCGCACGUGCCGAGCAAGGGGCGGCAAGAGGAAACCUCCCCUCCCCGGGGCUGCAGGAGGGCAGAGGAAGAAAUGCUCAACUCCGCCUGGGGUUAGACAGGGAAGGAGUCACAGAGCAGGGGACCUCGAGUCGUGUCCGACUCUGUGGGACCCCAUAGACUGCAGCCUACCAGGCUUCUCCGUCCAUGGGAUUCUCCAGGCAAGAACACUGGAGUGGGUUGCCAUUUCCUUCUCCAUUCUCUUCCUUUACAGGUCCUUUUCAAUUUGCUUUAAGUAAGAAGCCCUCUAUUCGACUGUUUUUCUUUUGAUUUUCUUUUCUUUUCUUUAUUUUUUAAUAAAGAAGCAUUUAUUUAA